GGAUCUUAGUUCCCCGGCCAGGGAUCGAACCUGCGUCCCCUGCAUCGGAAGGCGGAUUCUUAACCACUGGACCACCAGGGAAGACUCCUUUCCAUUCUUUCUUGGACCCACUCCAAAACCUGCCUUGCUGCAAGAUGACCUCCACAUUGCUAAAUCCAGUCGUCAGUUCUGUUUUCUUCCUUGACGUUAUCAGCAGCAUCUUAGAUUCUUAGAUAAUAGAUCAUUUCCUCCUUGAAACAUGUUCACCUGGCCUUUGGGACUUGCCUCCCACCUCUCUCAUUUCAGGCCCCAUUUGCUGUUCCUUCUCCACCUCCUUUACCUCUUACUGUCAGACUGCCCACUUCCCAUCUGCUCACAGUGCCUUGAUCUCAUCCAGUCUGGAAGCCCUGUAAACACAACUGGUAUGCUGAUGACUCUCCCUUUAAGGCCACAGUUUGAUGAGUUUUGAAAAAUGUCAACACCCUUGCAACCACCACUACAACAAAAAUAGAGAAUAUUUGCCCUUCUCCAAAAAGUUCCCUCAUGUCUUUUCAUAGUUAAUCUCCACCCUACCCCAAGACCUGGGCAACCACAUGUCUGCUUUGUCAGUACAUAUUAGAAUUGUCUUUUAGGGUUUUAUAAAGAUAGAAUCAUACAGUAUGCAUAUGCUACGUUUGUAUGCAGAUUCUUUUGCUCAGCAUGUUUUGGAGGCUCAUCCACGUUGUAGCAUUUAUCAGUAGUCUACUUUCUUUGUUGAGUAGCUUUCCAUUAUGCGGAUGUGCCACAGGUAGUAGUCAUCCUGUUCACCUAGAUGGACAUUGACUUGUUUCCAGUUCUGGGCUAGUGUAAAUACAGCCGCUAUGGGCAUUCUUCUUCAGGGCUUUUUUGUGUAUGCAGGUUUUCAUUUACCUUGGGUAAAGACCUAGGAGUGGAACAGCUGAGUUGUAUGAAGUUGGCUCCAAGCCCUGCUUCUGGGUCUGGUCAGAACCCACAGCAGGAAGGAUGACCUCCCACAAGGCCUUGGUGAGCUGCCCAGACACGCACGAAGGCUGGGUUUCUGUAUGGGAACCACUGAGCAACUUUAACCAGGAAGGACAGAAAAUGCUUUUGUUUUUAAAGAGGUCCUAGUGGCUGCUGUGUGGAUAAUGACCUGAUGGAGGCAACCGUUACCAAGGAAGGCAAGCGCGGAGGCUACUGUGUUCGUUCCGGCGAGAGAUGGAAACUUGGACCAACGUGGUGCUGCAGUGCGCAGAGAAGUGAUGAAACGCUUCACCGUACAGAUUCAAACCGCUCAGUGAACUUCAGAGCAAGAUAAACACAAAGAAACCACAUUAUUAAAAAGUACUGAAGCCCAAGAGAAAAGGUCAUGGUCAUGGUGGAGAAGCUUGGAUCGGAUUUACCUUCUUUCCGGUGAUGGUCAGUCAGGUGCAGCCAUAAGAGGAGACACAGGAGAGUAGCAGGAAGAAACAAAGUUUAUUAUACUCACAGGUCCAAGAAAGACGGAGUUACGGCAUGCCAUGAAGGUCCACACAUGCUGUAAGCCAGGGAGCGGGCUCAACCAAGCAGGUGGGGAGCAGAGAGUGAAGACUAGCCCACAGGCAAGUGCUUUUAUUAAGGGUGUGGGUAGAAUACACAAGGAUAGGCAUGAGGUAUGUCAUUGGUGCUUUUGAAUGUUACUAGGUCAUGUUCAGGGGAGAGCAAAGAGGAAGCCCCUUGUAGCAGGGGCCAGCCUUAUCACUUGAUAAGCCUGGUCAUCUGGGAGGGGUGCUCACAGCCUGUUUGCGGGUAUGUUGAGGCAGCAGGAAAAUACAAAAUUUAAAAUUUUACAAUACGAUGAAAUAGGUGAAAGGGGUAAAAAGGUACAAAGAUCCAUUUAUAAAAUAAGUCAUGGGGAUGUAAUGU